rnacentral:rRNA from 1 species
GACGAACGCUGGCGGCGUGCCUAAUACAUGCAAGUAGAACGCUGAAGAGAGGAGCUUGCUCUUCUUGGAUGAGUUGCGAACGGGUGAGUAACGCGUAGGUAACCUGCCUGGUAGCGGGGGAUAACUAUUGGAAACGAUAGCUAAUACCGCAUAAAAUUGAUUAUUGCAUGAUAAUUAAUUGAAAGAUGCAACUGCAUCACUACCAGAUGGACCUGCGUUGUAUUAGCUAGUUGGUGAGGUAACGGCUCACCAAGGCGACGAUACAUGGCCGACCUGGGAGGGUGAUCGGCCACACUGGGAAUGGGACACGGCCCAGACUCCUACGGGAGGCAGCAGUAGGGAAUCUUCGGCAAUGGGGGGAACCCUGACCGAGCAACGCCGCGUGAGUGAAGAAGGUUUUCGGAUCGUAAAGCUCUGUUGUAAGAGAAGAACGGGUGUGAGAGUGGAAAGUUCACACUGUGACGGUAUCUGACCAGAAAGGGACGGCUAACUACGUG